CCUACGGGAGGCAGCAGUGGGGGAUAUUGCACAAUGGGGGAAACCCUGAUGCAGCGACGCCGCGUGGGUGAAGAAGUAUUUCGGUAUGUAAAGCCCUAUCAGCAGGGAAGAAAGAAGACGGUACCUGACUAAGAAGCCCCGGCUAACUACGUGCCAGCAGCCGCGGUAAUACGUAGGGGGCGAGCGUUAUCCGGAUUCACUGGGUGUAAAGGGAGCGUAGACGGCCGUGCAAGCCAGGAGUGAAAGCCCGGGGCCCAACCCCGGGACUGCUCUUGGAACUGUGCGGCUGGAGUGCGGGAGGGGCAGGCGGAAUUCCUGGUGUAGCGGUGAAAUGCGUAGAUAUCAGGAGGAACACCGGCGGCGAAGGCGGCCUGCUGGACGACAACUGACGGUGAGGCGCGAAAGCGUGGGGAGCAAACAGGAUUAGAUACCCUGGUAGUC
rnacentral:rRNA from 1 species